rnacentral:lncRNA from 1 species
UCGGAUUUUUGAUUUUUUUUUUCUAGUACAAGUUCUUAUAACUUUUAAGUUACAGAUACAAAUAAAUUAAAUUUUACUAUUUUUACGGUAUCCUUGUUGCCAGUUCUCCCGUGUUCGGCUCUUGUAGGCUUAAUUUGUAUCCAAGUUUGUAAUGGUCUUUCUUCCCUCUGCGUUUCAUUUGCCUUGUAGCUUGUGAUUUUAAAAGUCUUUGUAACGUCUUCUAUAACUCUCCUCUCAAUCUCUUGUGCCCAGGAGAAUCUGUUUUCGUGGACCCUCUUGUUUCUCUCCGUCCAGAUACCCCAGACUGUUGCUGCUAUGUAUGACCAUGUUAUCCCCAAGAAACCUGAUUUUCUGGUCCUUCUGCUUGCCUCAUCCGUUACCUGUUCUAAUGAUAAACCUGUACGUGAUAUUAUACCUGAUUUUUUCCCAAUUAAGUAACUUCAGAGGUCUUUUGCAAAUUUACAAUGAAAAAAGACGUGUUCUUGUGAUUUCCAUGGCCCAUUACAUAAUAUACACUCAGUGUUAACCCCAUUCAUUCUACCUGCCCAGUCUGCUCUCAUCGAUAUUUUGCCCCACCUAGCUCUCCAAAAGGUUAUAACGAAUUUUCUUACACUAGUGGUUCACACUUCUUCCCAUAGAUUAUCA